rnacentral:rRNA from 1 species
GAAGGGUGGCGUAACACGUGAGCAACCUGCCCGUGACAGGGGGAUAACCGAUGGAAACGUCGCCUAACACCCCGUAACAACUUGGAGGGCAUCCUUUGAGUUUGAAAAUUCCGAUGGUCACGGAUGGGCUCGCGGGACAUUAGCUAGUUGGCGGGGUAACGGCCCACCAAGGCGACGAUGUCUAGGGGCUCUGAGAGGAAGGUCCCCCACACUGGAACUGAGACACGGUCCAGACUCCUACGGGAGGCAGCAGUGAGGAAUAUUGGACAAUGGAGGCAACUCUGAUCCAGCCAUGCCGCGUGAAGGACGAAGGCCCUAUGGGUCGUAAACUUCUUUUGUCGUAGAGCAAUAAGGUGUACGCGUACAUCGAUGAGAGUAUACGACGAAUAAGCAUCGGCUAACUCCGUGCCAGCAGCCGCGGUAAUACGGAGGAUGCAAGCGUUAUCCGGAUUUAUUGGGUUUAAAGGGUGCGUAGGCGGACGUAUAAGUCAGCGGUGAAAGGUACCGGCUCAACCGGUGAGCUGCCGUUGAAACUGUGCGACUGGAAUGCGGAUGCCGUGGGAGGAAUGUGUGGUGUAGCGGUGAAAUGCUUAGAUAUCACACAGAGCACCGAUUGCGAAGGCAUCUCACGAAUCCGUUAUUGACGCUGAGGCACGAAGGCGUGGGGAUCAAACAGGAUUAGAUACCCUGGUAGUCCACGCGGUAAACGAUGAUGGCUAACUGCCGGCGAUAUAGUGUCGGUGGCCAAGCGAAAGCGAUAAGCCAUCCACCUGGGGAGUACGACCGCAAGGUUGAAACUCAAAGGAAUUGACGGGGGCCCGCACAAGCGGAGGAACAUGUGGUUUAAUUCGAUGAUACGCGAGGAACCCUACCCGGGCUCGAACGGCUGAGGAAUGAGUUAGAGA